UCCAGACUCCUACGGGAGGCAGCAGUGAGGAAUAUUGGUCAAUGGCCGAGAGGCUGAACCAGCCAAGUCGCGUGAGGGAAGAAUGUCCUAAGGAUUGUAAACCUCUUUUGUCGGGGAGCAAAAAGGCUCUGCGGAGUCGUAUUGAGAGUACCCGAAGAAAAAGCAUCGGCUAACUCCGUGCCAGCAGCCGCGGUAAUACGGAGGAUGCGAGCGUUAUCCGGAUUUAUUGGGUUUAAAGGGUGCGUAGGCGGAAUGCAAAGUCAGGGGUAAAAUCGCGGGGCUCAACCUCGCUCCGCCGUUGAAACUGGCAGUCUCGAGUUGGAGAGAAGUAUGCGGAAUGCGCGGUGUAGCGGUGAAAUGCAUAGAUAUCGCGCAGAACUCCGAUUGCGAAGGCAGCAUGCCGGCUCCACACUGACGCUGAGGCACGAAAGCGUGGGUAUCGAACAGGAUUAGAUACCCGUGUAC
rnacentral:rRNA from 1 species